rnacentral:rRNA from 1 species
AUUGAACGCUGGCGGCAUGCCUUACACAUGCAAGUCGACCGGUAACAGGUCUUCGGAUGCUGACGAGUGGCGAACGGGUGAGUAAUACAUCGGAACGUGCCUAGUAGUGGGGGAUAACUACUCGAAAGAGUGGCUAAUACCGCAUGAGAUCUACGGAUGAAAGCAGGGGAUCGCAAGACCCUGUGCUACUAGAGCGGCAGAUGUCAGAUUAGGUAGUUGGUGGGAUAAAAGCUUACCAAGCCGACGACCUGUAGCUGGUCUGAGAGGACGAUCAGCCACACUGGGACUGAGAAACGGCCCAGACUCCUACGGGAGGCAGCAGUGGGGAAUUUUGGACAAUGGGCGCAGCCUGAUCCAGCAAUGCCGCGUGCAGGAUGAAGGCCUUCGGGUUGUAAACUGCUUUUGUACGGAACGAAAAGCCCCGGGUUAAUACCCUGGGGUCAUGACGGUACCGUAAGAAUAAGCACCGGCUAACUACGUGCCAGCAGCCGCAGUAA